AAUCUGAUUCUUAAGGGUAAAUAUCAGUGGUAAUUCUGGGGAUUUUUCAGAAAAUUGAAAAUAUAAAUUUUUAAUACCCAGAGUUUCAUCUGGUAUACACUCUUUUGAAUUC
rnacentral:pre_miRNA from 1 species